rnacentral:lncRNA from 1 species
UUGAUGAUAUAUUAAAAUUUUUUUCUAAUUAUCAUCCUACUUUAGUCAAAGUCUUCUUGAAUUAUCAAUCUAUGAGAUCAUAUAGGAUGUUCUCUCUCCUUAUAAGGAGUGACCGAUUCUUUGUUGACCACUCACAAUCUCCAUGCACACUUCACCAUGUCCAGAACACCCCACACAAGGCUCAAAAAAUCAGGCUAGGGAAUAAACCAAAAUAUAGAUUCAUAUACACAAGGUACCAUGGUAAUCUCAGGUCUAAGGAUCACUUGUACAACUCCCACUAGAGAACAAUCAGCUGACAUGCAUAUAAGGCUCCAUCAGGUGUUCUCUUGUUUGGUUAAUUCAGUGAAUUCAUUCUCUAAUAGAACAAUCAACUGACAUGCAUAUAAGGCUCCAUCAGAUGUUCUCUUGUUUGGUUAAUUCAGUGAAUUCAUUCUCUAAUGAGCACCCACAUCUUCGUAUUAGUGUCACUACAUAAGUGAUUAUGAGAUCAACCAUCCUCUCCGUCGAGCAUACAUAGGAUGUGCCAGUCUUAUCGAUAUCACUGAUCCCCGACUCAAUGAUCCUACGUUUGAGAAUAUUUUAGAUUAGAACUAUCAAAGAUUUAGAUCUCACUGGUAUGAUCUCAUUAUAGCCCUAAAUCAUUGUCCUAAUCUAUAAGCUUCAUUAUAAUCUUAAACAAGUAUUAAGAUGCAACAUAUAAUGAAAUAAAAUAUCUAAUUUUAUUAAUAAUUAAUAUCAAAUAUAUGAGUUUGGAAGAUAAAAUAUAGAAAAACAUCCCAUUGCAUCAUACAUGCGAUUGGCUUGUAUGGUAUUAUUCUUUCAAUCUCCUACUUGCACAAAAGCCAAUCGUCCCUAUACUUGAUGUCCAUGCAAUUUAGGUGGCGAUCAAACUACUGCUGUUACAAAGCCUUAG